AUGGGGAAAACAGCAGAGUUGGUGCAGUGGCGAAUGUGGGCGGGGUCGACCGUGGAGGGAGACUUGCUGGUCGGAGCAGCAGGAGCAAGAAGGUUGAGGCGGUUCAGAUCUCUAGACGUGGGUCUUUUUGUCCAUAUACUGAACCAUGAAGUUGGCAAGACAAGAACAUUAGUUGGAUCCAGAGUAUUGAGAUUGCAGAGGACUCAACAAAGGAUCUGCACUUAUUCUAUAAAUUCAGUACCAGGUUAG
rnacentral:rRNA from 1 species